rnacentral:lncRNA from 1 species
CCGGUUAGGUUAAUAAUGAUCCUCUAAGGGUGAAUGAGUAAUUUGUUGAAUAGUAUGAUUUAAUGGGUGAAAAUGGUUGAAAAAAUAGAUCUAACGAUCGAAAACUUAUAAAUACAAAGAAGGUCAUACUCAUAAAAGUACAGUAGCCGAACUACAUAAUCGAAUAAUAAAAAGUUAAAAAGUGUCGGUGAAAACUGAAAAGAGUUAGGACAUGUUUGGUUCAUGAUUGGAAUAGGAAUGGAAAAUGGAAUUGGAUUACUUUGGAAUCGAAAAUAAAAAUGACGAAUUAUCAAAAAAUGUUUGACUCAUUAUUGGAAUGGAAAUCGAAAUAAAAAUUUAAAAUUUUUGAGAAAAUAUUUUGAUUAAGAGAGAGAAAAGUGAUGAAAGGAGAAAAGAUAUGUGUUGAUGAAAGAGAAUUUUGAAUAGUUACUUUGAAAUGAACCAAUCCGGAAUUCAAAACCGGAUUAGAUCAUAAAUGAAUUUGACAAUUCCCAUUCCAGAGUGGAAUGGAAAUCGGAAUCCGAUUCCUAUAAAACAAACGGCAACUAUCGGAAUCAACGAAUUCCAUUCUGAUUCUAUAGUCUAAAAUAGGUGAACCAAACACGCCCUUAGAGUCAACGGGUCAAUUUGAGAGAGUGCCAUAGUCAAGCUGGACCUGAGAUCUCAACAGAAUAGAACUCUCUUAAUUUGGAUUGGUGCGUCUCCAUGGGCUUGUUUUGGACUAUGGAACUUUCUUGAAGAGAUUAGUGUUAACAUAAGUUGCUCAUAAUUGUUUUUUUUUUUUUUUGGAAGAGAUAGAUAGUAUGCUAUCCGCUUUCUUUAUUUCAUUUAUAAAUAAACUUAGUUGAAAAUAUGAAUCAACUAGAAUUAAUUGGAACUUUCUUGAAGAGAUUAGUGUUAACAUAAGUUGCUCAUAAUUAUUAUUAUUAUUUUUGGAAGAGAUAGAUAGUAUGCUAUCCGCUCCCUUUAUUUCAUUUAUAAAUAAACUUAGUUGAAAAUGUGAAUCAACUAGAAUUCGAACUAUCAACCGUCCUUAGAGCAAGCGGCAAAGGGCUUGGUGGUUGGUAUCCGAGACUCAAGUUCGAAUCCUAGUUGAUUCACAUUUUCAGCUAAGUUUAUUUCUAAAUGAAAUAAACGAAGCGAAUAACGUGCUACCUAUCUCUCUCUCAAAAAAAAAAAAGAAAAAAAGAAAAAAAAAACUACAAUUCGAACUUGGGACUCGAAUACCAACCACCAAGCUUUUUGCCAUUUGCGCUAGGAACGGUCGAUAAGUUGCUCAUAAUUGUUAUCUAUGUGUUUGUUUU